CGGAAGUGAGGUUGGAGCGCAGAGCUGGUCGGGAAGCUUGUUCGAUUUUCCCAAGAGGAUACACCCUUGUACCAUCUACCCAGUCAGUCAGGAUCUUACAUGUCAACUCUGACUCUUCUGAACUCCAGACCAUAUCAGCCAAAUCUGUCUCAUCUUUCCUCAUAAGUUUCAUUUGAGGACCAGGUGUACAGAAAGAAGUUGCAGUACCAGACAACUGACAGAAAGCUAAUGAAAUUCCAGUAUCCAGAACAUGUCCCAAGAACUACAAACCAGCCAG